GGUCCGUUGGUUAAGAAUUCGUCUUUUCAUAGCGGUAACACGGGUUCGAAUUCCGUACGGACUA
rnacentral:tRNA from 1 species